AGCGUAGGUGGCCUAACAUGUCAACUGUGAAAACCCGGAGCUCAACUCCGGACUUGCAGUUGAAACUGGUAGGCUUGAGGACGGUAGAGGAAGACGGAACUGCCAGUGUAGGGGUAAAAUCCUUAGAUAUUGGCAGGAACGCCGGUGACGAAGGUGGUUUUCUGGGCCGGUUCUGACACUGAUGCGCGAAAGCCUGGGGAGCGAACG
rnacentral:rRNA from 1 species